GCUUGCUUCAGCAACACUUAUACUAAAAUUGGAAUGAUAUAGAAAAGAUUAACAUGGUCUCUGUGCAAGGAUGACACACAAAUUCAUGAAGCAUUCCAUGUUUUA